rnacentral:rRNA from 1 species
GAAGCUCUGACGGUACCUGAGGAAUCAGCCUCGGCUAACUCCGUGCCAGCAGCCGCGGUAAUACGGAGGAGGCAAGCGUUAUCCGGAAUUAUUGGGCGUAAAGCGUCCGCAGGCGGCUUACCAAGUCUGCUGUCAAAUACCAGAGCUCAACCCUGGGUCGGCGGUGGAAACUGGCAAGCUAGAGUACAGUAGGGGUAGAGGGAAUUCCCAGUGUAGCGGUGAAAUGCGUAGAGAUUGGGAAGAACACCGGUGGCGAAGGCGCUCUACUGGGCUGUAACUGACGCUGAGGGACGAAAGCUAGGGUAGCGAAAGGGAUUAGAUACCCCUGUAGUCUUAGCUGUAAACGAUGGAGACUAGGCGUGGCUUGUAUCGACCCGAGCCGUGCCGAAGCCGACGCGUUAAGUCUCCCGCCUGGGGAGUACGCACGCAAGUGUGAAACUCAAAGGAAUUGACGGGGGCCCGCACAAGCGGUGGAGUAUGUGGUUUAAUUCGAUGCAACGCGAAGAACCUUACCAAGGCUUGACAUCCCGCGAAUCCUGGUGAAAGCCGGGAGUGCCUUCGGGAGCGCGGAGACAGGUGGUGCAUGGCUGUCGUCAGCUCGUGUCGUGAGAUGUUGGGUUAAGUCCCGCAACGAGCGCAACCCUUGUCCUCAGUUGCCAGCAUUCAGUUGGGCACUCUAGGGAGACUGCCGGUGACAAACCGGAGGAAGGUGGGGAUGACGUCAAGUCAUCAUGCCCCUUACGUCUUGGGCUACACACGUACUACAAUGGUUGGGACAACGGGCAGCGAAGCGGCAACGCCGAGCGAAUCCCAGCAAACCCAGCCUCAGUUCAGAUCGCAGGCUGCAACUCGCCUGCGUGAAGGAGGUAUCGCUAGUAAUCGCAGGUCAGCAUACUGCGGUGAAUUCGUUCCCGGGCCUUGUACACACCGCCCGUCACACCAUGGAAGUUGGCCAUGCCCGAAGUCGUUACUCCAACCCUUGUGGAGGAGGACGCCGAAGGCAGGGCUGAUGACUGGGGUGAAG